GGAAUUUCGAAGCGUCAGCCAAUUUAAGUGAAUUAUCCGAAAAAUUUCGAUUUGAGUGAGUCUGGAAAUGAUAAUUUGUUCAAAGAAAUUAGUAAAAAGAAUUAAUUUGGAUAAAUACAAAAUUCAUAGGCCCUGCUGUCCAUUAGAAGAUUCUCUGAUUAUAUGGUACUAUGAUUUCAAGCUCGAAUAAUUUACUCGUAAGAUGUCAACAGUUCUACAACGCUGAAGCUCAAAAUCUGCUGUGCAGCUGGAACGCCCAAAACAAUGCUAUCGUCCAAUUAUCCUGAACUGUUUCUCUAAAUAAAAAGCUUAAAUUUCUAUUAUCCAUUAUUGAAAUAAAUAAGAGCAAUUGUUUUUGUUUUUAUAUUUUUUUAAAUACAUUUUGUUUUAUUAAAUCGAAAAAAAAUACAUUUUCUCAAAAUCUAACCAAACAUUUUACAUGUUUCAUGUAUUAUUAAAGUAAACAUUAAAUAAAAACUAAUAACUAAAAUAAAAAAAUUAUAAAAAAUUGAACGAAAUAAACUUAAGGAAACAAAAACGUCAAAUAGUAUAUAUAUAUAUAGCCAAAGCAUAAUAAACAACAUUUCACAUUGUAAUAAUUAACUUCGCAUCAUCAUCAUCAAUAGGAUUACUUUAUCUUCACAAUCAGCGUGUUAAAUGUACUUUUUACUGAUUCUAAGCAUUAACCGUUAGAUGGCGAAUGCUUACAAACGAAAAUACAUUUAAAUAAUAUUAUAUUCAAUGCUUAAGCAUAUAUUCGUAUGUAAGUAUGUGUGAGUGAGUGUCGAUUCGAAAGAAAUUAAAAAUGUGGUUAAUUAAUAUGGGAAUAUUAAUAGACCAGAGGAACGAAGCCUCAUACAUUUUUUUUUAAUUUCUUUGCAUUUGUUGCAGCUUACUCAUACAUGCAUACAUAUUUAGUUGGUGAGUGAUACAUAUAUAAAAAGCGUUAAUUUCGCAAACAAAAGAACAAAUUUAACAAAUAUUUUUUUUAGCUUCCUCAAUAGUUAAUUGAGUGCAUACAUAACAUAUUCAGAAAGAGAGAAAGAGAGCGAGAGAGAGAGAGAAAGACGGAAGUAGAAGUUCGUGCGUUCUCAUUUACAUCGAUUUUAUACAUAAAUUAUAUAUCUAAGAGUAUUUUUUGUCUUUUCUUCAUCAUCUUCAUCUUCUUCUGCUGUUUCUUAUACUUCAUUACAAUCUCUUUCUCUACAUUACUGCGUUAACUCUUACAUCUUUUAGUGCUUACAAUGUAUUGUUUCUUUUUUUUUUUUGUUUUUGCUUAUAAUUAAACAUUGUAAGGACAUGAACACAAAAUCGGGAACUGGACGUAUGGAGCCGGUACGGAAUCAGGAACAGGAUGUCGGGAUAUGCUUGCUACGCUUGGUAUUUGGGAGCAGGAUUCCGGAAUGUUGAGGAUGUAAGGACGGGAGCGGGAGUAUGUAGCGUGUUGCUUUUAGACGGGGGUGGGAACACAUUAGGAAAUGGACCAACUGCCAGGCACGUCAUAUGCAGGAACGGUACCGGGAUUGCUUGCUUAAUCAGCAGUGUGUCCAAUAAAGAACACCAACUGAACUAACUAAGCAAGCAACAAGCGUAUGUUGGGAUGCGUGCGGAGAGGAUGUAGGAUAACGGGACGUUGAUUGGUUGUCGAUUGCUGUGGUUGGACGUUCACUUGUUUUGUUUUGCUAACGGACGGCGUUAUUACGUGUGUUAUCCUUAGAUAAGAUAUUUUGUCAUCCCUAAAUAGGAGAGGAUUUCUUGGCAUGAUCUUUUGUGUGUAUGUAGAUGACAAAUUGUAUUGUAAUUGUAACGUCGUUCGUCAUAACGUCGCUUUAGUCUUUCUUUUCUUCGACCACAACACUUGUGGUCGGAUCUUCGAUCUUUUCGCUUUCAGUUUCAACUUUAACGUCUUCGUUUAUCGUUACUGUCGCUGCAGUCGCUUCGCCAACCAACGCUACCGGUUCGGCUGUCUCCACCACAGCUGAUGUCGAUUGCUGUGUGGUGUCUACAUUUUCUGUGCUUGCUGCUGUCGUGUCCACUAUCUUAUUGUCCGUUACUUUUGUCUCCGCUUGUUCGUUCAUCUCUGUAGCUUCUAUCGCUUUCACUUCUUCUACGGUCACUUGCUCGUUGUCUACGGCUACGGUUGCGUUCAGUCCUUCACUGGCGUUCGUCUCACGUUUCUUAUGUAGUCUGUCUGGUAUGUUUUGUGUGCAAGAGCAUGGGCACAUGCAUUGAUCUUUACGUGCACCACCUGUAAUCUGACUAAAGCUAAAUGGGAUUGGUGCUGGUUGCACGCCCAAUGGGAAGGAGUCGACAUUUUGUUGGUAUCUAUCGUUCGCUAUAUUAUCGCAUUGUUCAUAAGCUGAUUGUGGUAAUAUGAUUACCGGCAUAAAUGCUAUAACAGCACCUUUCGGUAUCUUGUCCGGUGCAUAUGAGGCGGCAUAGCCUGGCGCUUGUGGAAACACCGGCAAUUGUUGUAACAACGACAUGGAGUUUGUUAUACCGCCAAAGAUCGUUUGGCCGCCCGAUGCGGUUGUUGUUUGUGUUGUGAAUUGUUGUUGAUUAUACAGUUUACUAUCUGACGUUGGUUUACCAAAGGACGAGGUUGUUGAUUGUUGAGUACCUAUUGUAGUUUGUUGUUGUUGUUGGGUUGAAUGCGUACGAUCCGCAUUGCAUGAGCACAGACGUUCGUUAUUUAUUUCGGUCGUUGGAUAGGCGGGACGUGGCGUUUGGUAAUUCGUAAUGGUAUUGGUAACUACAUUCUUUUGACCGCUUGUUGGUGGACUGGGCUUGUAACCGUCAUUUCUAUUGGUAUUUGUUGUUGUGGUGGUCACUUUCUCAACGACCCGCUGUCCGGUUGGAUAGCUAGGUACGUUUUGUUUCGUCGCUGUUGUGGUUGUUACUUUUUCGACAACUUUUUGUCCAACUGGGUAACCGGGUAUUUGCCCAUAGACGUUGGUUUCCUUUUGUGUGGUUACCUUCUGUCCAGUAUAGACACCGGGUGUUUGUUCGAAUGUUGUUGUAGUUACCUUCUGACCACCGCCUACUAGUGUGAUUUUCUGUCCUGUCUCUCUGUCUGUAUUGAUAUUUGUCUUUUGAAUUUGAUUUGGAUAGGUAUUCUUGUCGACGCUGUGCUCAUAUUUAUUACCGGUAUUUGUGUUUGUUGUAGUUGUUGUGGUUAUUGUCUUGUACGGUUUUUCCUUCUCAA